AGAGUUUGAUCAUGGCUCAGAGCGAACGCUGGCGGCGUGCUUAACACAUGCAAGUCGAGUGCGCGUCUGUAGCAAUACAGAUGGCGCACGGCGCACGGGUGAGUAACACGUGGGCAAUCUGCCCUCGGAUGGGGGAUAACUCGCCGAAAGGCGAGCUAAUACCGCAUGACAUUCCGAAGACUCCGGUCUUUGGAUUCAAAGGCCGCAAGGCCGUCUGAGGAGGAGCCCGCGCCCGAUUAGCUAGUUGGUGAGGUAACGGCUCACCAAGGCUUUGAUCGGUAGCCGGUCUGAGAGGAUGGCCGGCCACACUGGAACUGAGACACGGUCCAGACUCCUACGGGAGGCAGCAGUGGGGAAUAUUGCGCAAUGGGCGAAAGCCUGACGCAGCGACGCCGCGUGGGGGAUGAAGCUUCUCGGAGUGUGAACCCCUUUCGACCCGGACGAAUGACCCGCAAGGGUUUGACGGUACGGGUAUAAGAAGCCCCGGCUAACUACGUGCCAGCAGCCGCGGUAAUACGUAGGGGGCCAGCGUUGCUCGGAAUUACUGGGCGUAAAGGGUUCGUAGGUGGUGCGGUAAGUUGGAAGUGAAAUCUCUGGGCUUAACCCAGAGGCUGCUUUCAAAACUGUCGCGCUCGAGUGCGAGAGAGGUCAGUGGAAUUGCAGGUGUAGCGGUGAAAUGCGUAGAUAUCUGCAGGAACACCCGUGGCGAAGGCGGCUGACUGGAUCGCAACUGACACUGAGGAACGAAAGCUAGGGGAGCAAACAGGAUUAGAUACCCUAGUAGUCC
rnacentral:rRNA from 1 species